rnacentral:rRNA from 1 species
GCAGCCGCCGCGGUAAAACAGAGGUCCCAAGCGUUGUUCGGAUUCAUUGGGCGUAAAGGGAGCGUAGGCGGUCGGGUAAGUUGGAUGUGAAAUCCUGGGGCUCAACCUCAGAACUGCAUUCAAUACUGCUUGGCUAGAGUAUUGGAGAGGUGAGUGGAAUUCACGGUGUAGCAGUGAAAUGCGUAGAUAUCGUGAGGAAGACCAGCGGCGAAGGCGGCUCACUGGACAAUUACUGACGCUGAUGCUCGAAGGCCAGGGGAGCAAACGGGAUUAGAUACCCCCGUAGUCCCUGUCUCUUAUAC